rnacentral:rRNA from 1 species
GACGAACGCUGGCGGCGUGCUUAACACAUGCAAGUCGUACGGUAAGGCCCUUUCGGGGGUACACAAGUGGCGAACGGGUGCGUAACACGUGCGUAACCUGCCCCCACCUUUGGGAUAACGCUAGGAAACUGGUGCUAAUACUGGUUAUGUGUCCUUGCUGCAUGGUGGGGGUUGGAAAGCUCCGGGGGUUGUGGCUGGACUCGCGGGCUAACAGCUUGUUGGGGGGGUAGUGGCGUACCAAGGCGGCGACGGGUAGCCGGCCUGAGAGGGUGACCCGCCACAGUGGGACCUAGAGACGGCCGAGGCUCCGACGGGAGGCAGAAGGGGGGAAGAUUGCACAAGGGGCGCAAGCCUGAUGCAGAAGCUCCGCGUGCGGGAUGACUCCCUUCGGGGUGAAAACCGCAUGCAGCAGGGACGAAGCUUUUUGUGACGGUACCUGCAGAAGAAGCACCGGCUAACUACGUG